GGGUGGUAAUGCCGGAUGCUCCGACUCCUCGCAUGGGGUGUCGGGAAAGAUUUCAUUGGUAUGGGAUGGGGUCGCGUCCUAUCAGGUAGUCGGCGGGGUAACGGCCCACCGAGCCUACGACGGGUAGCCGGCCUGAGAGGGCGACCGGCCACAUUGGGACUGAGAUACGGCCCAGACUCCUACGGGAGGCAGCAGUGGGGAAUAUUGCACAAUGGGCGCAAGCCUGAUGCAGCGACGCCGCGUGCGGGAUGACGGCCUUCGGGUUGUAAACCGCUUUUGAUCGGGAGCAAGCCUUCGGGUGAGUGUACCUUUCGAAUAAGCACCGGCUAACUACGUGCCAGCAGCCGCGGUAAUACGUAGGGUGCAAGCGUUAUCCGGAAUUAUUGGGCGUAAAGGGCUCGUAGGCGGUUCGUCGCGUCCGGUGUGAAAGUCCAUCGCUUAACGGUGGAUCUGCGCCGGGUACGGGCGGGCUGGAGUGCGGUAGGGGAGACUGGAAUUCCCGGUGUAACGGUGGAAUGUGUA
rnacentral:rRNA from 1 species